UACGAAGGGGGCUAGCGUUGUUCGGAAUCACUGGGCGUAAAGCGCACGUAGGCGGAUUUUUAAGUCAGGGGUGAAAUCCCGGGGCUCAACCUCGGAACUGCCUUUGAUACUGGAGAUCUUGAGUCCGGAAGAGGUAAGUGGAACUGCGAGUGUAGAGGUGAAAUUCGUAGAUAUUCGCAAGAACGCCAGUGGCGAAGGCGGCUUACUGGUCCGGAACUGACGCUGAGGUGCGAAAGCGUGGGGAGCAAACAGG
rnacentral:rRNA from 1 species